GUGGGGAAUAUUGGACAAUGGGCGAAAGCCUGAUCCAGCCAUGCCGCGUGUGUGAAGAAGGUCUUCGGAUUGUAAAGCACUUUAAGUUGGGAGGAAGGGCAGUAAGUUAAUACCUUGCUGUUUUGACGUUACCGACAGAAUAAGCACCGGCUAACUUCGUGCCAGCAGCCGCGGUAAUACGAAGGGUGCAAGCGUUAAUCGGAAUUACUGGGCGUAAAGCGCGCGUAGGUGGUUUUGUAAGUUAGAGGUGAAAUCCCCGGGCUCAACCUGGGAACUGCCUACAAAACUGCAUGACUAGAGUACGGUAGAGGGUAGUGGAAUUUCCUGUGUAGCGGUGAAAUGCGUAGAUAUAGGAAGGAACACCAGUGGCGAAGGCGACUACCUGGACUGAUACUGACACUGAGGUGCGAAAGCGUGGGGAGCAAACAGGAUUAGAUACCCCAGUAGUCC
rnacentral:rRNA from 1 species